rnacentral:rRNA from 1 species
GACGAACGCUGGCGGCGUGCUUAACACAUGCAAGUCGAACGGAAAGGCCCUGCUUUUGUGGGUUGCUCGAGUGGCGAACGGGUGAGUAACACGUGAGUAACCUGCCCUUUACUUUGGUAUAACUUCAGGAAACUUGGGCUAAUACCCGAUAGGAGCUCCUGCUGCAUGGUUGGGGUUGGAAAGUUUCGGAGGUUGGGGAUGGACUCGCGGCUUAUCAGCUUUUUGGUGGGUUAGUGGCUUACCAAGGCUUUGACGGGUAGCCGGCCUGAGAGGGUGACCGGCAACAAUGGGACGGAGAUACGGCGCAGACGCCUACGGGAGGCAGCAGUGGGGAAUAUUGCACAAUGGGCGGAAGCCUGAUGCAGAAACGCCGCGUGCGGGAUGACGGCCUUCGGGUUGUAAACCGCUUUCGCAUGUGACGAAGCGUGAGUGACGGUAAUGGGUAAAGAAGCACCGGCUAACUACGUG